GUGGGGAAUCUUAGACAAUGGGGGAAACCCUGAUCUAGCCAUGCCGCGUGAGCGAUGAAGGCCUUAGGGUUGUAAAGCUCUUUCAGCUGGGAAGAUAAUGACGGUACCAGCAGAAGAAGCCCCGGCUAACUCCGUGCCAGCAGCCGCGGUAAUACGGAGGGGGCUAGCGUUGUUCGGAAUUACUGGGCGUAAAGCGCGCGUAGGCGGACCAGAAAGUUGGAGGUGAAAUCCCAGGGCUCAACCUUGGAACUGCCUUCAAAACUCCUGGUCUGGAGUUCGAGAGAGGUGAGUGGAAUUCCGAGUGUAGAGGUGAAAUUCGCAGAUAUUCGGAGGAACACCAGUGGCGUAGGCGCCCAACUGGCUAGAUACUGACGCUGAGGCACGAAAGCGUGGGGAGCAAACAGGAUUAGAUACCCCGGUAGUCC
rnacentral:rRNA from 1 species